rfam:Nematostella vectensis strain CH2 x CH6 NEMVEscaffold_224_Cont19619, whole genome shotgun sequence.
UCCCAUAUGGUCUAGCGGUUAGGAUUUUUGGUUUUCACCCAGACUGCCGGGUUCGACUCCCUGUACGGGAA